UAGAAUUAACUUCUCUCCAGAGAAAAAGCAUUCAGCUAUGAGAGCAUCAGUAGGGAUGAUGUUGCCGAGGAAGUCAUGGAAGACUACUUGGAAGAACUAUAACCUACAGGAUAUGUUGAUUUAUAUAAAGCCGUCAGAGGAGAGCAGUCCAAUUACAAUGGAGAGGAACUUGUCACAUUACAGGUUAAAUGAUAAUAUUUACUUCAAGUGCAACUGAAUGCUUGAGAAAAGUUGAUGCUAAACGUUUUUUUAAGCUGAAACAAAAGGGAACUUUUCUACAAUCCUUCAAUAUCUACUACUCUGAAACUGCUUACACCAAAGGCAUAAGAAAGUCAUAGUGAUUUAUGAAUGAUGACCACCUGCAAAGAAAUGAACAGUUUGAAUCAGCCAUAUGGCAAAAUCUGAAUAUAUUUCUUAAUUUGAAUAUUACUUUGGAUGAAUGGAGAAUUUUC